AGAUGAAGAACGUAGCAAAAUGCGAUAAGUAGUGUGAAUUGCAGAAUUCAGUGAAUCAUCGAAUCUUUGAACGCACAUUGCGCCCUUUGGUAUUCCUUAGGGCAUGCCUGUUCGAGCGUCAUUUUCACCUUCAAGCACAGCUUGGUGUUGGGCGUCUGUCCCCCGCGGACUCGCCUCGAAACUAUUGGCAGCCACUCCAGCGGCUUUGAGCGCAGCAGAAUUGCGUCUCUUGCGGCGAGGGGGGGCAUCCAUAAGCAUACUUUUUAUUUUGACCUCGGAUCAGGUAGGGAUACCCGCUGAACUUAAGCAUAUCAAUAAGCGGAGGA
rnacentral:misc_RNA from 1 species